GACGAACCGUGCGAACGUUAUUCGGAAUCACUGGGCUUAAAGCGCGUGUAGGCGGGUGGGCACGUCCGACGUUGAAAGCCCCCGGCUCAACCGGGGAAUUGCCUGGGAUACCGCUGGCCUGGAGGGGGGUAGGGGCGCCUGGAACACCGGGUGGAGCGGUGAAAUGCGUUGAUAUCCGGUGGAACUCCGGUGGCGAAAGCGAGGCGCUGGGCCCCAUCUGACGCUGAGGCGCGAAAGCGUGGGGAGCGAACCGG
rnacentral:rRNA from 1 species